rnacentral:rRNA from 1 species
CAGCAGCCGCGGUAAUACGAAGGGGGCUAGCGUUGCUCGGAAUGACUGGGCGUAAAGGGCGCGUAGGCGGAUGGCACAGUCAGAUGUGAAAUUCCCGGGCUUAACCUGGGGGCUGCAUUUGAUACGUGUUGUCUAGAGUGAGGAAGAGGGUCGUGGAAUUCCCAGUGUAGAGGUGAAAUUCGUAGAUAUUGGGAAGAACACCGGUGGCGAAGGCGGCGACCUGGUCCUUUACUGACGCUGAGGCGCGAAAGCGUGAGGAGCAAACAGGAUUAGAUACCCGUGUAGUCCCUGUCUCUUAUAC